rnacentral:lncRNA from 1 species
CGGCCUGCCCCGCGGCAAGAUGGCGGUCUGAAGGCAGUGGGCAGCGGCAGAAACUGAAGACUCAGGGGCCCCAGGGAUUGGAAGAAAUCACAGUACCUGCUUGGAAAGAAGAAGAGGUAGCGACUUGCCCCAGCUCAACCCCAGGGCGGGGAGAAGACUUACCUGAUUUCUCAACCCCUGCUGUCUGAAACCUUGGGUUAACCAGGUCACUUGCUGCUCCCCGUUUGAAAAACAAACCAGACCCAACUGGUGCGUGUUUGUUUAUUUAAUAGUAUGUCUGUGUCGAGGAUUCAGAAGGUAGUCUGCCCAUAGCCACAAUUCC